rnacentral:lncRNA from 1 species
GGCUUUCGAGCCCAGAUGGUCAUCUGAGACGAGAGGUGGCGGCGAAGGAGAGUCUCGCCUGUCACGCUCCCGGAGCAGGGGCUUCAUGAGGUGGCCAUGGAAACAGCCUGGCAGACUCCCAUCUCUCCUGGUGCCAUCUCCGGAGCGGAAAGUGGAGCGCCCCGCUGGCGACCAAGGCCGCACUGAGAGCCCUGGUUUGGUCAACAGUUGGGCUCCAAGAAGUCUCUUCCUUUCACUCUGCUGAGUGAAGCCCUUCCUGCCCUCAGGCUGGACCAUGGCUUCCAUGCUGCCCCUCUUUUCAAGGCUGCUUGUCUACAGUUCUACAGGUUUCUAGGCCCUUGGUGAGUGAAGAGCAGUUCAUUACGAAAUGACCUCCAAGAACAAGGCUCAGCAUUCUCUGAAAUCUCAUGAAGCAGUGUAACCAGCUCUCAAGUAUCUUCCUGUGAACUAGCCACAGGGUAUUUGAUCUUAUCCUUUGCUUAGCCAGUGCCCUUCCUGCUUUGUCACUGUAUGCUUAGGAAAGGUGAAAUCAUUUUAACACAAAGCUGAAUACAACAGUCUCCAAAGC